rnacentral:lncRNA from 1 species
GCUGCCCUCCAGCUUUCAAAGUGCUCUGAGUCAUCACUUACACAGUGUUCCUUAGCUGCCCCUUCAGUGAGCCAGUGUUUCUGUGCCCCAGUGUUCCUGAGAGUUAGAACACAGAAAACAGAGCAGGCUCUUGCCCACAUCACAGAACAUCUUUGAUUUCAGUAGAAGGUCAAGGACAUUUCAGUUGGGAACAGAUUGCUCCAUGGUAAUACGAUCACUAUGUACCCAACAAUGGCUCUUUCUUCCUAGCCUCAAUGCAGAUGUUAUUUUCACCUUAACUAUUAUCAUUGCUGUUUCUAACCAUAGUAUGGAAGAUCUGAGUACAGGGGAAACUGGAUUAGUAACAGUGGGUCAGAAAAUUAUAUAAUAUUCAACCAAAAUUCCUGCUUUACAUACACAGCACCUGGUAUUUCCAGAACUAGAAGGUAAAGAAAUUAUUUGUGCUUGAACUUGCAGAAAACUGCCUUUUCCCUUCUUCUCUUGCAUCUUAACCUGGAGCUUCCCUUUUCUUGAGCCUCAGUGUGCUUUACAGAGAGGUCACAUAUGCCUAUUUUCUAAUUGGUAUCUUAUUACCAUUGAGUUUUGAGAAUUUUUUACAUAUGCUAGAUGUAAGUUCUUUGUCAGAUAUAUGGUAUGCAAAUUAUUUCUCCCAGUCUGUAAUUCAUUUUUUCAACCUCUUUACAGGGUCUUUCUAAGUAAAAAAAAAAAAAAAAAAAAAAAAAAAAGUGUUUAUUUAUUCUAAUGAAGUCCAGUUUUAUCACUUUUUCCUUUUGUAGAUUUUGUUUUUAAUAUCAAGCCUAAAAAUUCUUUGCCUAGCCCAAGGUCUCAAGAGUUUUCUUCUAUUUUAAAAAGUUUAGUGAAUUUAUUUAUUUAUUAAUUAUUUUUGAGACGAGGUUUCGCCCAAGCUGUAGUGCAGUGGUGCCAUCAUUGCUCACUGCAGCCACUAACUGCUGGAUUGAAGUGAUGCUUCCACCUCAGCCACUUGAGUAGUAGCUGGGAUUACAGGCACGAGCUACCAUACACAACUUUAAGUUUUAUAAUAUUACAUUUUACAUUUAAGCCUGUGAUUUAUGUGAGCUAAAUUUUAUAUAAAGUAUAAAUUUAGGUCAGUCUUAGUUUUUGUACCUGUGAAUGUCCAAUUGCUGUAGCACCAUUUGUUGAAAAAGAUAUCCUUCCUUUAAACUGAUUUUGCAUCCUUGUUAAAAAAAAAUCAGUUGAAAAAAGACAUUCAUACUCAUGGAUCAGAAAUAUGAAUGUUGUUAAAGUGACAGUACUACUCAAAAGCAACCUACAGAUUCAAUGCAAUCUCUAUCAAAAUACCUAUGAACAUAAAGUAGAACAGAGGAUACUGCAGGCUGAAAAGGGUAGGGAGAAAGGAGGAAUGGUAAGAGAUUUGUUAAUGGAUACAAAAUUACAGCUAGGUAGGAGUAAUAAGUUCUAGUGUUCUAUAGUACUGUAGAUGACUAUAGUUAACAAUACUAUAUUAUGUAGUUUAAAAUACCUAGGAGUAGUUUGAAUGUUCCCAACACAAAGAAAUAAUAAAUGUUUGAGAUGAUAGAUAUGCUAAUUACCCUGAUCUGAUCACCAUCUACAUGUACUGAAACAUCCCCAUAUAGCCAUGAAUAUGUAUAAUCUUUGUC